GCUACUGAUCUUAGCGGCGGACGGGUGAGUAAUGCUUAGGAAUCUGCCUAUUAGUGGGGGACAACAUUCCGAAAGGAAUGCUAAUACCGCAUACGCCCUACGGGGGAAAGCAGGGGAUCUUCGGACCUUGCGCUAAUAGAUGAGCCUAAGUCGGAUUAGCUAGUUGGUGGGGUAAAGGCCUACCAAGGCGACGAUCUGUAGCGGGUCUGAGAGGAUGAUCCGCCACACUGGGACUGAGACACGGCCCAGACUCCUACGGGAGGCAGCAGUGGGGAAUAUUGGACAAUGGGGGGAACCCUGAUCCAGCCAUGCCGCGUGUGUGAAGAAGGCCUUUUGGUUGUAAAGCACUUUAAGCGAGGAGGAGGCUACUAGUACUAAUACUACUGGAUAGUGGACGUUACUCGCAGAAUAAGCACCGGCUAACUCUGUGCCAGCAGCCGCGGUAAUACAGAGGGUGCGAGCGUUAAUCGGAUUUACUGGGCGUAAAGCGUGCGUAGGCGGCUGAUUAAGUCGGAUGUGAAAUCCCUGAGCUUAACUUAGGAAUUG
rnacentral:rRNA from 1 species